GCAGUCUGCAACUCGACUGCAUGAAGCCGGAAUCGCUAGUAAUCGCGGAUCAGAAUGCCGCGGUGAAUACGUUCCCGGGUCUUGUACACACCGCCCGUCACACCAUGGGAGUCGGAAAUGCCCGAAGCCGGUGGCCUAACCGAUAAGGGAGGAGCCGUCGAAGGCAGGUCUGAUGACUGGGGUGAAGUCGUAACAAGGUAUC
rnacentral:rRNA from 1 species